rnacentral:miRNA from 1 species
UUCUUACUUGAGAAUACA